CCCCCCCCUGAAAAUCCUGAAGUUUCCCUUUAAGUCAUGCAAGAUAAUUGCAAUAACAACAGUACCAUCUCCUGUAGUUUCACUCUGCUCAAAAUGACUAAGACCUAACUUUUUUUGUAUGAAUCCUGUCUCCUUCGUGGAAAUGAUGUUACUUAAAUGGACUGUGAAAUGGAACAAACCCUAGCCUAUAUUAUGUCGUAGUAUAUUAUAUAGCAUAGUAUUUUAAUAAUUAUUAUUACUAUCAUCUUCAAGAAGCUCAGUGCUCUUCUUUGGAGUGAUGUCGUUCUUCUGCAGCUGGAAAUUCAUGCGACGAGGGCUCAUACAACCACACAGGAAAGCUAAGGACUGAAUUAAAUGAUGUGGUUUAUGAGUUUUCUUUGGAAGCUGUGCCCUGGAUGGAGGCUAAUGGCACCUGUGAGAAGCGGGGAGGACGGCUUCUUGGGGCCCUGAACUGUAGGCUCAAAGACGCUCUUCAAGACAUGAUAGCAGCAAGACGAAGAAGGUCUGAGGCCUGGUGGGUGGGCCAGAGCCUGAUGGGGAAAUAUGAGGAGAAUCCAUUUAAUGGUGAAUCUACAGAGAAGGCAGACAAGCAGGGGAGAGAGGCAGCACCUAGCAAGGAAAACACUACAGGUGCAGUCUUACUGAUCCCCACAGUCUAAAGUGGAAGUAGAACUUUUGAUGCAAAUGCAUGAUCAUCCAUCAUUUAUCGUGUGGUCUCAGAAAAAGAGUAUUUGGCAGGUGUAACAGAAUCCCUAUAACAUUUAAGAGCGGAUUGCCUCACAAUGUUUUGUGAUAUUGUGUGAUAUUGAUUGAAGUCCUUUUUCAUUUCUAAAUCAAAACUGUCAGUGGGGAAUACUCUGGACAAAACAUCCUACUACUGCUCAUACAUGAUCAUGGAUCCAUUCAAAGUGGCGACCACACAGUAUUGCACCAUGAACCUCUCCUACAUCUGUCAACUGGGUAUGAUAUUCUCUAACUAGCACUAAUCAGUAAUGUGCCAUCAGACCUCAUUAGAUUCAGUGAGAGGAACACAAGAGUGUUUAACAAAGCUUUCUUUUUCUCUAAUGUUAUUUGAAACUCCUAGAGGGUUCUUGGCAAGCUCUUGAAUUCACUCUCUCACUUAACAAAGCAACAUGUUGCAAUGAAAAAAACAAUAAUAAUCAAGAUAAACAAAAAAAAAUACCAUAAUUCCAUAAGGAUAUAAAGCAAGAUAUUCACAGAGAAAAUCAUUUGAAAAACAGCUUUGUUGUUCUCUCAUAGAUCUGAAACCCUCAACACAACUUCAGGCUGCUGUGAGUUGUACUUUUAUGAAACAUUAUUCGUUGCCAAUAUCAGUGAUUUUGCUUUUACUGUUAAGAUCACAUGUAUCCAUAUCCCUGUUUCUAUAUUUAUAGGACAACACUAGUCAGAGAUUGAUUCAUCGGACCAAACGGAGCACACCUGCAGGUCAGUGAGAUCAUUUAGCUUUUUUAUUUAGUAUACAAUUUAUGGUUAGGUUUAAUUACAGGGAAAACACUCAUCCACCUCCUCUCUUGCUAUUUGCAGAAACACAAAUUGAGCAUCAUUUGAGUACCAUGACAAACAAGCUUAAACUGCUUGACCUUGAUGCUUUCCUAGAGGUCAGAUUUCAUUAAGACAUUCUGAUAUCCUUUGUUAUUC
rnacentral:lncRNA from 1 species